rnacentral:rRNA from 1 species
AGACGGAGACGUUAAGCGAACCCAAAAAAGUAAGUCUCAGUUCGGAUUGAAGGCUGAAAUUCGCCUUCAUGAAGCCGGAAUUGCUAGUAAUGGCAGGUCAGCAUACUGCCGUGAAUACGUUCCCGGGCCUUGUACACACCGCCCGUCACACCAUGAGAGUUGGGAAUACCCGAAGCCUGUGAGCUAACGUAGGAGGCAGCAGUCGAAGGUAGAAUCAAUGAUUGGGGGUGAAGUCGUAACAAGGUAAC